rnacentral:rRNA from 1 species
AUUGAACGCUGGCGGAAUGCUUUACACAUGCAAGUCGAGCGGCAGCGCGGGGGCAACCCUGGCGGCGAGCGGCGAACGGGUGAGUAACAUAUCGGAACGUACCCCGUCGUGGGGGAUAACACAGCGAAAGCUGUGCUAAUACCGCAUACGACCUGAGGGUGAAAGCGGGGGAUCGCAAGACCUCGCGCGAUGGGAGCGGCCGAUAUCGGAUUAGCUUGUUGGUGAGGUAAAGGCUCACCAAGGCGACGAUCCGUAGCUGGUCUGAGAGGACGGACCAAGCCACACUGGAACUGAGACACGGUCCAGACUCCUACGGAGGCAGCAGUGGGGAAUUUUGGGACAAUGGGGGCAACCCGUGAUCCAGCCAUUCCGCGUGAGUG